AAGUAGAAAUGGAAAGCCACCUGCGCAAAUUUGUUCUACUUUGAUAUAUUUCUCUCUUACAAGAUUCAUAUUAUUCCUUGUAUUGUUCAACAUCGUUAUAGUGCCUUUGUGAGCUAUCAACAUCAUAAAGCACUUUUGGUAUGUAUCACUAGCAGGAGACAAUAUAUAAGCUCUCUUGAACACAUCAACUGAAGUUUCUUCCCUCUUAUUGCGACAAUAUAAAAAAUAACCCACCAAGGCCAAUCGAAAUGCUCCCAUUAGUUGACUCGGUGCAACCCCGCAUGAAUUCAGAACAUCCACGAAGAAAAGAUGCAACAGUAGGUGAAACCCUAUUUAAAAUCCAUACAGUGAAACCCAAAAAUAUGGCGAAUCACCUUCCUUUAAACCUACUUUGCUUAGGUGAUGUUUUCCUUUAGGGAUUGAAAAUUUAUAUUUAAAUUUAGAAAAACACUCAAUCCCCCUACACUCUAAUAGAUGCCACUUUUCCUCCAUGGUAGUACUAUAUUCAAAUUUGUCACUCUCAACUGGGACAUCAUGAGAUCUUUUGGGUGCCAUAAUUUUUGAAUGAUGAUUCAAAACGAAUGAAGGAUAUUAAAAUAAAUAAGGAAACAAUAAAAUAACAAAAAAAAAGAAAACCUACAAUUUAGAAAACUUGAUCAUUUACUGGAGAACUCCAAAAAAAAAUUCAAAAAAGAAAAUACCAAAGGUAAACUUGGUGAAAUAGAGAUAAAUUUCAUAGAAUCUACAUUCGUUCCCGGAGCAACUAUGACGUAAUUUACUACAAUUUCAUAUCAUUAGGCAUACAUGUAACGCUGCAAAACUCGACCUAAAAGUUUAGACCGAAUCCUGGAGGUUACAUUGAUCACUGAAGUGAUCUGAAACAAUUUUACAAGCGAGUUGUUAAAAUCUUAUAUGAACACAAUUAUUAAAAUCGAACUAAACCAUUUAGCCCUUUUAGGAUUCAAAAUAGAGAAUUCAAGUCACGUUGAAGGCGUUCGGAAGUAAAGUUCCAAGUUUCUAGAAUUCAAAACAAAACUAUUUAUGAAAAUCCAAAAUUUGAUUGUACCACUGUAUUUAUAGAUGUUUACAGUCCAAAACAAUUCACAAAAUAAAAAAUCUGAAAAGUCAUUCUAUUAGUCCGACUUAAAACAUAUCACUCCGAGACCUCCAGCAUGUCAAGUCCAGCUACAGAAAAUGAGGGUACCUGCAAAGGGAUAAAGUAAGGGGGUGAGCUACACGAGCUCAAUGCGAGUUCGAAAAAGACAGAAAACAAACACUAAAGUGUCACAAAAAAAUAUCUCAAUGGCAAUCCGAUAUACGAGUAGUUUUCACAAACAAAUCGAACGUAUCAAUAUUGAAACACCUCGAUCUAUAAAUAGUUAGUUUCGUAAUCAUACAGAAUGUAGAAUGAAUGCAACAAGUAAUAAAAACCCACCCAACUAGCCAAACGACUCUCCAACCACUAUGCACACCACAUAUGAGCUAUUCAAGCCCAUCCAACCAUGCACACCACAUA
rnacentral:lncRNA from 1 species